GAUCAUGGCUCAGGAUGAACGCUAGCUACAGGCUUAACACAUGCAAGUCGAGGGGAAACGACAUCGAAAGCUUGCUUUUGAUGGGCGUCGACCGGCGCACGGGUGAGUAACGCGUAUCCAACCUGCCCACCACUUGGGGAUAACCUUGCGAAAGUAAGACUAAUGCCCAAUGAUAUCCCACGAAGGCAUCCGAAUGGGAUUAAAGAUUUAUCGGUGAUGGAUGGGGAGUGCGUCUGAUUAG
rnacentral:rRNA from 1 species